AGUGGGCUGGGGUGUGAUGCUACUUUCUUGUUCAGAAUGUCAUACCCAGGCUACCCACCUUUCCCUGGAUAUCCUCCUGCAGGUCAGGAGUUAUCUUUCCUCACUGAGGGUCAGUAUCCAUACCCUAGUGGCUUUCCACCAAUGGGAGGAGGUGCUUACCCACCAGCACCAAGUUGUGGCUAUCCAGUAGCUGGAGGCUACCCCACACCUGGAGGUUAUCUAGCCCCUGGAGGCUAUCCUGGAACCUUAGAUCCAGGGGAUGCUCCAGCCUAUCCUGGAGGCCAAGGCUUUGGGGCCCCACCUGGUGGAGCAGGCUUUUCUGGCAAUCCACAGCCACCUGCAUGUCUUAUGGUGGUGGACCAGCACAGGUUCCAGUCCCAGAUAGCUUUCCUGGAGGACAGAUGCUGUCUCAGUAUCCUGGAGGACAAGCUCCCUACCCUGGCCAGCCCGCUGCAAUGACCCAGGGCACCGAAGGAACAAUCCGCCCAGCCUCCAACUUUGAUGCUAUGAGAGAUGCCAAAAUUCUCUGCAAAGCAAUGAAGGGGUUUGGGACAGACGAGCAAGCAAGCAAU
rnacentral:lncRNA from 1 species